CAGCAGCCACGGUAAUACGGAGGGUGCAAGCGUUAUCCGGAUUCACUGGGUUUAAAGGGUGCGUAGGCGGAUCUGUAAGUCAGUGGUGAAAUCUCCAGGCUUAACCUGGAAACUGCCGUUGAUACUAUAGGUCUUGAAUUUCGUGGAGGUUAGCGGAAUAUGUCAUGUAGCGGUGAAAUGCAUAGAUAUGACAUAGAACACCAAUUGCGAAGGCAGCUGGCUACACAACUAUUGACGCUGAGGCACGAAAGCGUGGGGAUCAAACAGGAUUAGAUACCCGGGUAGUCCCUGUCUCUUAUAA
rnacentral:rRNA from 1 species